AUGUCACCCAAGUUCAACCCCAACAAGAUCAAAGUCGUAUACCUGAGGUGCACGAGUGGGGAAGUCAGUACUACAUCUGCUCUGGUUCCUAAGAUCAGCCCCCUGGGUCUGUCUCCAAAAAAGGCCAAUGAGGACAUCACCAAGACAAGUGACUGGAAGGGCCAGAGGAUCCCAGUGAAACUGACGGUGCAGAACACACAGGCCAGAUUCAAGUGGCAUCUUCUGCCUCUGCAGUGAUCAUGAAAGCCCUUGAGGAACCACCAAGAGACAGAAACAAGCAGAAAAACAUUAAGUACAGUGGAAAUAUCAUUUGUGGUGAGAUCAUCAACAUUGCCCAACAGAUGCAGCACUGAUCUUUAGCCAGAGAACUCUCUGGAAUCAUUAAAGAGAUCGUGAGGACUGCCUAGUCUGUGGGCUGUAGUGUUGAUGGCGCCACCCUCACGACAUCACAGAUGGCUUUGAUAGUGGUGCGGGUGGAGUGGCCAGCUAGUUAA
rnacentral:lncRNA from 1 species